rnacentral:rRNA from 1 species
UACGUAGGGGGCAAGCGUUGUCCGGAUUUAUUGGGCGUAAAGAGCUCGUAGGUGGUUCGGUAAGUCGGAUGUGAAAUCUCCAGGCUCAACCUGGAGGGGUCAUUCGAUACUGCCGUGACUAGAGGUCGGUAGGGGAGUGUGGAAUUCCGUGGUGGAGCGGUGAAAUGCGCAGAUAUCAGGAGGAACACCCGUAGCGAAGGGCGGCACUCUGGGCCGAUACUGACACUGAGGAGCGAAAAGCGUGGGGAGCGAACAGG